ensembl:lncRNA
GGCUAGCUUUGGUGGUGUUCAACUUCUUCUGGUGUGAAGUAAUUCUUCAGCACUGGGUAGGUUAAAGGUUAAAGGUCAUCUCACUCCCUCUCUCUUGUUGUCUCAUCAUUUCUCUCUCCCCACCCGGCUGUUUCACUUCCUCUGUCACUGUACCCUUUACCUCUCUCUCUCUCUUCUCCAUCUCCCCUACCUCACUUCUCAUUUUCUCUCUCUCUCUCUUUCUCCAUCUCUUUGUCUCUCCUUACUCUUGUUUCUUCCCUUUUAUCUCUUUGCAUGCGUCUCUGUCCCCACCCAGGUGUGUGGUGGCGUCUCUCUGUUGACCCUGGCCCUGCAUGAUGACCUGCCCUACCUGCGCAGGUGAUGGAGCAGCUGCUGGUGUCUGAUGGAGCAGCCCAGUAACGCUCAGCCCAAACUGCUGCUGCGCCGCACAGAAUCAAUCGUGGAGAAGCUGCUCACCAACUGGAUGUCCGUCUGCCUCUACGGCUUCCUCCGGGCUACAAAAAAAUAUGUUGUGCUGAACUUCAUUGAAGAGAAUGAAGUGGAGGCAGCACCAUCAAACUGGCUGGAGUGCAGUGAUGGGAUUGUAUAUUGCUACUGGCCCCAGCGCAACCAUGCCACCCUCGCAAAGCGAUGUGCCCUGCCAGAUAAAGAACUCUGGACAAAAUACUCAGUGUACUCUCUGAAAAGGACACUUAUACUCUGGCAAGACAAAAGGUUCAAAGAGCACAAGAGACCUCUCAUCUUGACGACUCUGAACAAGAAUCCCGGCGGAUUAAGCUCCCGGAAAGAUACAGAGAGGUUAAAGAGCUGGGAACAAAAAAUAAAUAAAUAAAA